UACGUAGGCAGCGAGCGUUGUUCGGAGUUACCGGGCGUAAAGGGUGUGUAGGCGGUUGUUUAAGUUUGGUGUGAAAUCUCCCGGCUCAACUGGGAGGGUGCGCCGAAUACUGAAUGACUUCGAGUGCGGGAGAGGAGAGUGGAAUUCCUGGUGUAGCGGUGAAAUGCGUAGAUAUCAGGAGGAACACCGGUGGUGUAGACGGCUCUCUGGACCGUAACUGACGCUGAGACACGAAAGCGUGGGUAGCAAACAGG
rnacentral:rRNA from 1 species